rnacentral:misc_RNA from 1 species
UCUCCGUUGGUGAACCAGCGGAGGGAUCAUUACAGGACUCGCAAGACUCCUACAACCCUGUGAACUUCACUAUAAGCACGUUGCUUCGGCGGGUGUCGCGGCGCGGGUCUUCCCGCACCGGGGCGCUAAGCCCGCCGGCAGCCUACUAUACUCUGUUUCUCUGCGUUGGCAUCUCGAGAAAAAACAAACAAGUUAAAACUUUCAACAACGGAUCUCUUGGUUCUG